rnacentral:lncRNA from 1 species
GCAGCGAUCAGCACGAAAUUCUGAGAAUUUAGAGUCCCAAAAUAGUUUUUCGGAAUUUAUUAAAUAAUUAAAUUUAUUCCGAAAAUUAAUAUAAUAAUAAUAUCCGUAUUUUUCACGAUCCACGCUCAAUUUAUAAUAUCCAAUCAUCAAUUUCAAAAUCCGACUACACAGCAGCGAUUGGCACGAAAUUCUGAGCAAUUAGAGUCAAAA